rnacentral:rRNA from 1 species
UGGGGAAUAUUGCACAAUGGGGGGAACCCUGAUGCAGCCAUGCCGCGUGAAUGAAGAAGGCCUUCGGGUUGUAAAGUUCUUUCGGUGACGAGGAAGGUUGGUAGGUUAAUAGCCUAUCAAAUUGACGUUAAUCACAGAAGAAGCACCGGCUAACUCCGUGCCAGCAGCCGCGGUAAUACGGGGGGUGCGAGCGUUAAUCGGAAUAACUGGGCGUAAAGGGCACGCAGGCGGUGACUUAAGUGAGAUGUGAAAGCCCCGAGCUUAACUUGGGAAUUGCAUUUCAUACUGGGUCGCUAGAGUACUUUAGGGAGGGGUAGAAUUCCACGUGUAGCGGCGAAAUGCGUAGAGAUGUGGAGGAAUGCCGAAGGCGAAGGCAGCCCCUUGGGAAUGUACUGACGCUCAUGUGCGAAAGCGUGGGGAGCAAACAGGAUUAGAUACCCUGGUAGUCCACGCCGUAAACGAUGAGUGCUAGGUGUUAGACCCUUUCCGGGGUUUAGUGCCGUAGCUAACGCAUUAAGCACUCCGCCUGGGGAGUACGACCGCAAGGUUG